GCACUUCUGAGGAAUCUCAUAAUAGGACGAAACGGCCUUCCAGUGC
rfam:Schistosoma mansoni strain Puerto Rico chromosome 3, complete genome